rnacentral:rRNA from 1 species
UACGUAGGGUGCGAGCGUUGUCCGGAAUUAUUGGGCGUAAAGGGCUCGUAGGCGGUUUGUCACGUCGGGAGUGAAAACUCGGGGCUCAACCCCGAGCCUGCUUCCGAUACGGGCAGACUAGAGGUAUGCAGGGGAGAAUGGAAUUCCUGGUGUAGCGGUGAAAUGCGCAGAUAUCAGGAGGAACACCGGUGGCGAAGGCGGUUCUCUGGGCAUUACCUGACGCUGAGGAGCGAAAGCGUGGGGAGCGAACAGG